UAAGAUUUUCAUCAUGGAUUCAAGUUAAAAAACAUCGGAUUGACAUCAAUUAACACCUAAAGAUUCCAAAUUUUCAAGUUUUCGUCAAGGAUUUAGAGGACUUUUCAACAACUCAAAACUUAGGGUUUUUGAGAACGACAAUCAAUUUAAUUUCUCUACUUCCUGAUACUGAAGUUAGAAACUUUAUAAUGCAAAGCGAUGCCUAGAGGGUAAUAUUGUGGGAGUUUAUGCGUGGCAACGACAUGAAACCAUAAAUGGCCAAAAAGAUACCUCAAUUGAGGAAUUAGGUUGAGUAAGUAGUUGGCUUGACGGUUUUAACCACACAAAAAUCCAAUGAAACACUGAAAUUAAUGGACAUACACCAUCAUGACUUAGUUGAAUACGAAUUAAUUGAUAUUGCCUAUUUAUAAAUAUCGUUUUGUAACGACCCGUUUGAUCGUUAUUGCAUCUCCAACACUUUUGACCCUUUCCCGAGCUUGGUUACUCACUUUUAACCUGAGGGGACCGUUGACACGCUUCCCGAGGUGUUUAGAUUUGAUUCGGGUGACUUUUUGUGAAAAUUGGGCUUAAAGCGAAAAAUGGUUGACUCAAAGUUGACUUUUGAGUGAAAGGACUUUUUUCAAAAAUCCGUUGAUUUCGAGAGGUCUGGAUGGUCAUUUAGAACUUGUGUGCAUAAUUGGUUUGGUUCCCAAUACACUCGGGUGCAUUUUGGGACUUGGGUUGGAAAGUUAGUUUUGAGGCAUCGGGGGUUGACUCGGUCAACUAGACCUCCAAUGAGAUUUCCGAGGCCAUGAGUGCGUUCAUAGCGCGUUUUUAUGUAUAUCUACAUAUUUGGUUUGUGUUCGGGAGGUUCCGGGAUGGUUCCGAGGGUCGAUUUCAAGUUUUGAAGACGUGUCUGGUGACCGCCGAAGCGACGCACAAAAAUGAUGGCCGAACCGCCGAAGCGGUAUGCGCAAAAACGAUGAGCGAAAACGAUGCACGAAAACGAUGGCCGAACCGCUGAAGCGGUUGACGGGCUAGAUUUUUCAUUUAAAUGCCUUAUGAAACCCUUCUUCCUCCCAUUCCAAAAAUUACAUUUCCAUAGCAUCUUGGAGGAGAUUUGAGGGAGGUUGGGUCAGAUUUCUCAUGAGGAGUUUGAUUGUGUGGAGACUCACCGUGAGGGCAAGGAAUUAUCUUGUGGUCCGUGAUUUGCUGUUCGGCGUUCCAGAGAAUUAGACAGGUUCACUCUUUUCCCUCGCGGCUGAUCGACGAGGCUGCUGUAGAGUCAUUCCAGGGUGAGCACGAUGACGACUGCUGCCCGGAUGUUCUUUCCCUUACUUACUUGUCUUACUCUUAUUUCAAGACAAUUGUAUUAUGAGACUUUUUCAUCUUCAGACUUGUAGUAUUUAGUUAGUGCUCUUCUAUGAACAUACCAGAUACUGGGGUGGUUUAUGAUUACUUCUGCAUUUAUUGUAUAUUCGAAUAACGGGCUUCGUUGCUUUAUUUUCUUCCGCUAUAUAUAUACUGGGUUUGUGAAUGUCGAAUUAAGGGUUCGCCUACCGA